rnacentral:lncRNA from 10 species
CUCCCCCCGCGUCUUCAGAGGAGCGCUGUUUCUGGAGGAGUUAGGGGAAGGAGGCUGCCUGGUAAGCCAGGAAAGGGGCUUCUGGCCGUUCUGUUGGAGCGCCUCUGACUGACUUCCCCCAUGUGUCCGUGUGGCCACACCGUGCUACUUUCAGAGGCAGUGGGCUUUUCGCUAAGGGAUAAAAAGAAGUAAAACCUUGCCUUUAGCGCAGCUCUCCUUCACUGGGCAGAUUGCUCUCCCUCCCCACUCUCCCAGGCCCAAAUUGGAUCUCAGCGCCUGGGAGCUCCAACUUUAGCAAGUGCGAAAUCCUGUCUUCGGUUUUGGAAUUUUCAUCCGCACAGACUAUAUCAGCCACGGAUAGGAUAUGUGAGAAUACCAGCAUGUCAAGGCUGGGAAUCAUCCUUAGGCAUCACCUAGCCAGUCCUGCCUCUCAUUUUAAGAGAAUAGACGCCUUGAUGGCUCCUCUGGCAGUUCUUGAUGACCAUGGAUGAGCUAAUGGCUGUGGUCUCAAUGGUGGCUUCUUGAGAUGGUAUUGCCUCUGAAUUUGCUGAUUCAGAAGAUGUCGGACUCAUGUUAUCCUAUAGAAGAUGUAACAACCCAUAUACAUUUAUGAAAAUCAGGAACUACAUUAUUAUAAUGAUGAAGGAAAAGCCCAAGAAAUCAACCAACCUGAAACCUGCAAUGAAGCUGUGCAGCUGUCUUUGCCAACAGGGUUCUGCACCUCAAAACUGUAUACCCCACUGUCACUCGGUGCUACAUUGAUGAUCUUAAGGCCGGAUACUUUGUUGAAGAAGCUUAUUUUGUAUUUGUUGUCACUUGUUAGCUCUUUUCCAUCCUUAAACCACUUAGUACUGAGUUCAGGGGUGCCAGCUACUGUACACUCCAAGGUACAGGUGUCUCCCGUGGUAACUUUUAUGGAUUCUGGCUUUUCUACAAUUGUUGCAGGCUCUGGAAUGAAAUGUAAAAGAUAUCCAUAUUUUAAACUCAAAUUGAAAAACUAAAGAAAAUACAGAUCCUGGUGAGUGUGUGCCUUGUAUCUGUGAUAACAUCAUCUUUUUACUAACCGAGAACGGAUAGCGUGGCGAAGCACUCUUGCAUCCCAG